AGCAGCCGCGGUAAUUCCAGCUCCAAUAGCGUAUAUUAAAGUUGUUGCAGUUAAAAAGCUCGUAGUUGAAUUUCGGGGUUUAUCCGUCGGUCGGGCUUUCGGGUCUGUACUGGCGUGAUGGAUUCCUACCUUCUGAAUAACCGGCAUGUCAUUAAUUUGGUGCGCCGGGGAAGCAGGACUGUUACCUUGAAAAAAUUAGAGUGCUUAAAGCAGGCUUAUGCCUGAAUACAUUAGCAUGGAAUAAUGAAAUAGGACGGCAUGGUUCUAUUUUGUUGGUUUCUAGGAUCACCGUAAUGAUUAAUAGGGAUAGUUGGGGGCAUUAGUAUUCAAUUGUCAGAGGUGAAAUUCUUGGAUUUAUUGAAGACUAACUUCUGCGAAAGCAUUUGCCAAGGAUGCUUUCAUUAAUCAAGAACGAAAGUUAGGGGAUCGAGGACGAUCAGAUACCGUCGUAGUCUUAACCAUAAACUAUGCCGACUAGGGAUCGGACGAUGUUAAUUUUUUAAUGACUCGUUCGGCGCCUUACG
rnacentral:rRNA from 1 species